GUGCCCUCUUUGGCAGCACAUAGACUAAAAUCGGAAUGAUGCAGAGGAGACUGGCCUGGCCCCUGUGCGAGGAUGACAUGCAAAUUCGUGAAGCUUUCCAUAUUUUA
ensembl:snRNA U6 U6 spliceosomal RNA